UACGUAGGUGGCGAGCGUUGUCCGGAUUUACUGGGCGUAAAGAGCGCGCAGGCGGCUGGUCAAGUCCGAUGUGAAAGCUCCCGGCUUAACUGGGAAAUUGCAUCGGAAACUGAUCGGCUGGAAGGUGGGAGAGGGUAGCGGAAUUCCCGGUGUAGUGGUGAAAUGCGUAGAUAUCGGAAGGAACAUCAGUGGCGAAAGCGGCUUCCUGGUCCAGCACCGACGUUCAGGCACGAAAGCGUGGGGAGCAAACAGG
rnacentral:rRNA from 1 species